GGGCCUACGGGACGCAGCAGUGGGGAAUAUUGGGCAAUGGGCGCAAGCCUGACCCAGCAACGCCGCGUGAAGGAAGAAGGCUUUCGGGUUGUAAACUUCUUUUGUCAGGGACGAAGCAAGUGACGGUACCUGACGAAUAAGCCACGGCUAACUACGUGCCAGCAGCCGCGGUAAUACGUAGGGGGCAAGCGUUAUCCGGAUUUACUGGGUGUAAAGGGAGCGUAGACGGCAUGGCAAGUCAGAUGUGAAAGCCCGGGGCUCAACCCCGGGACUGCAUUUGAAACUGUC
rnacentral:rRNA from 1 species